rnacentral:rRNA from 1 species
GUUAUCCUACGGGGGGCAGCAGUGGGGAAUAUUGCACAAUGGGGGGAACCCUGAUGCAGCGACGCCGCGUGAGUGAAGAAGUAGUUCGGUAUGUAAAGCUCUAUCAGCAGGGAAGAGGAUGACGGUACCUGACUAAGAAGCCCCGGCUAACUACGUGCCAGCAGCCGCGGUAAUACGUAGGGGGCAAGCGUUAUCCGGAUUUAUUGGGCGUAAAGCGAGUGCAGGCGGUUC